rnacentral:rRNA from 1 species
GACGAACGCUGGCGGCGUGCUUAACACAUGCAAGUCGAACGAAGAGCGAUGGAAGCUUGCUUCUAUCACUCUUAGUGGCGAACGGGUGAGUAACGCGUAAUCAACCUGCCCUUCAGAGGGGGACAACAGUUGGAAACGACUGCUAAUACCGCAUACGAUCUAAUCUCGGCAUCGAGGAUAGAUGAAAGGUGGCCUCUACAUGUAAGCUAUCACUGAAGGAGGGGAUUGCGUCUGAUUAGCUAGUUGGAGGGGUAACGGCCCACCAAGGCGAUGAUCAGUAGCCGGUCUGAGAGGAUGAACGGCCACAUUGGGACUGAGACACGGCCCAGACUCCUACGGGAGGCAGCAGUGGGGAAUCUUCCGCAAUGGACGAAAGUCUGACGGAGCAACGCCGCGUGAGCGAUGACGGCCUUCGGGUUGUAAAGCUCUGUUAAUCGGGACGAAAGGCCUUCUUGCGAAUAGGGAGAAGGAUUGACGGUACCGGAAUAGAAAGCCACGGCUAACUACGUG